AGACCCUAAGCAGAGCCUGGAGGUGAGGAGAGUCCCCCAGGUGGGGUCUAGAGAUGAGGGGGGACCUCUUAAGGGGCCCAGAGGUUCUUAGGGGUUCCUCUAGCAGGUCCCAGGCCAGGCCAGGGGUCUGCCCUGUCCAGUGAGGGUCUUCAUAGGGUCUGAGGUAGCACCAAGGAAAUGAGAGGGAAAGAGCUGCUGGCUCUCUUCCUGCUUCCUCAUGGAUUAGACGCAGCUCGAGAAGCUACCUCUAAGUUCAUGCAUAAAAGAUCAAUGGAAAUGAUUGCUUGAUAGAGUUUGGAUCACGCUGUCAUUGUGGGACUUAAGACACAAAAGGAACGAAAGUAAAGCUCUUCAGUGAGGAACGUUGCUGCUGCUGGACAGGCCGGCCGCGAGCAGCCUGCAGCUCCAACCCGGCGCCUUCCGAGCGCGGACGCGAAUUAAGAGGGGCGACGAAGGCGGAGGGAGCGCUGGCCGCCGACGCGAGCCCCGGCGCCGGGCUGCGCUGGGCGAUGCACCCCGGCACCCCUGCGGAGGAAGGGUGCUGUCCGGUGGGUGCUGCGCCUCCUCGCUUCUGGGUUUCCAGCAGUUCCCGGAGCCCCCGUACG